ensembl:lncRNA
CACGGCUUUCUUAAGAAGACCACGGUGUCCAUCACAGAUCUACUGAUGCAGAAAUGGAGAAGACGCACACGGCGUAUUUUGAACCCGCUGAGCAGCAACUAAUUAUGGAAACUUAUGAGGAGGUGAAGCAUCUAAUAUGCAAAAAGGAAAAACGGAAGCUGUAAUUAAACAGAGAAAAAAUCCUGUCAGACAAUCGCGCUCAUCACCUUUACAAGUGUUCACUCCUCACUGCGCAGUUUCUCCCAUCAGAGACAGAGACCCCCCCUAUUUAGACCGGCCCGUGAAAUAUUGUCUAACAUGCAAACGGUCCGUGAGGGAAAGGUUGUGGACCACUGAUCUAAACAACUGCAAUAGUUUAAAAUCAACAAGUAAUGCAUGUUAAUGCAAAUAAAUCAGAACACAUUCAGGAGAAUAACUGUUAAACACGUUUAUUUGGGAUCGGCAGCUGAUUUAACACAUGAGGCUUCAGAAUCAAUCUUAAGCCCGGCUGUUAGCCCGGCUGUUAGCCCAGAUGUUAGCCCGGAUGUUGGCCCGGAUGUUAGCCCGGCUGUUAGCCCGGUUGGGUUGUUAGCCCGGUUGUUAGCCCGGAUGUUAGCCCGGAUGUUAGCCCAGCUGUUAGCCCGGAUGUUAGCCCGGCUGUUAGCCCGGUUGGGUUGUUAGCCCGGCUGUUAGCCCGGAUGUUAGCCCGGAUGUUAGCCCAGCUGUUAGCCCGGUUGUUAGCCCGGUUGGGCUGUUAGCCCGGUUGUUAGCCUGGUUGUUAGCCCGGUUGUUAGCCCAGUUGUUAGCCCGGUUGUUAGCCCGGCUGUUAGCCCGGUCUGGAGCAGGCUAACUGCAAAAAAGAAAUCACCACGGUUACUUGGCUGCGUUUAAUUCAACCUGCUUUCGGGCAACCAAGUCAAAGCUAAAUUCAUCAGGAUAACGUGAAUAUCCCGGCUUAAUCCCUUAUCCUGGUUUCGCGCGGUAGGCCUCAGAACACCCAUUUAAUUAAACAAGAAGGUGCUUAUAAAUUCAGGCUCUUGUCAUUUAUGAAUAUUUUUUUAUUUGUAUACUCUUUAUGUUUAUUUCUGUUUGUCAGGUAGAGUCAGAUGUUGUCACUUCUCUGAAGAAGACGACGAAUAACAGACUUCGUCGACUUCCUGGACUGUGUCAACGCCUGAAGAGACGCAGGAUCACAGUCCUGUGUAACAGAGAGAAGUUCUGUUGGCGUGGACGGGCUCAGAAGAAUCGGUCUGGCCAGGUGUGUUUCUGUCCGCGGGGCUCCAACUGUUCACACUUCUUUGUUCACAGUCUGUAAUACGACCAUUUUCCCUUUAAAUCACACAAUGUCACUCUGUAAUAACCACAAUGUCACUCUGUAAUAACCACGAUGUCACUUUGUAAUAACCACGAUGUCACUCUGUAAUAACCACGAUGUCACUUUGUAAUAACCACGAUGUCACUCUGUAAUAACCACGAUGUCACUCUGUAAUAACCACGAUGUCACUCUGUAAUAA